rnacentral:rRNA from 1 species
GGGUUGUGAGGUUAAGCGACCAAGCGUACACGGUGGAUGCCCUGGCAGUCAGAGGCGAUGAAGGACGUGCUAAUCUGCGAAAAGCGCCGGUAAGGUGAUAUGAACCGUUAUAACCGGCGAUGUCCGAAUGGGGAAACCCAGUGUGACUCGUCACACUAUCAUUAACUGAAUCCAUAGGUUAAUGAGGCGAACCGGGGGAACUGAAACAUCUAAGUACCCCGAGGAAAAGAAAUCAACCGAGAUUCCCCCAGUAGCGGCGAGCGAACGGGGAGGAGCCCAGAGCCUGAAUCAGCAUGUGUGUUAGUGGAAGCGUCUGGAAAGGCGCGCGAUACAGGGUGACAGCCCCGUACACAAAAGCGCAUAUGCUGUGAGCUCGAUGAGUAGGGCGGGACACGUGGUAUCCUGUCUGAAUAUGGGGGGACCAUCCUCCAAGGCUAAAUACUCCUGACUGACCGAUAGUGAACCAGUACCGUGAGGGAAAGGCGAAAAGAACCCCGGCGAGGGGAGUGAAACAGAACCUGAAACCGUGUACGUACAAGCAGUGGGAGCAUGAGUUUACUCAUGUGACUGCGUACCUUUUGUAUAAUGGGUCAGCGACUUAUAUUCUGUAGCAAGGUUAACCGUAUAGGGGAGCCGGAGGGAAACCGAGUCUUAAUUGGGCGUUAAGUUGCAGGGUAUAGACCCGAAACCCGGUGAUCUAGCCAUGGGCAGGUUGAAGGUUGGGUAACACUAACUGGAGGACCGAACCGACUAAUGUUGAAAAAUUAGCGGAUGACCUGUGGCUGGGGGUGAAAGGCCAAUCAAACCGGGAGAUAGCUGGUUCUCCCCGAAAGCUAUUUAGGUAGCGCCUCGUGAAUUCAUCUCCGGGGGUAGAGCACUGUUUCGGCCAGGGGGCCAUCCCGGCUUACCAACCCGAUGCAAACUGCGAAUACCGGAGAAUGUUAUCACGGGAGACACACGGCGGGUGCUAACGUCCGUCGUGAAGAGGGAAACAACCCAGACCGCCAGCUAAGGUCCCAAAGUCAUGGUUAAGUGGGAAACGAUGUGGGAAGGCCCAGACAGCCAGGAUGUUGGCUUAGAAGCAGCCAUCAUUUAAAGAAAGCGUAAUAGCUCACUGGUCGAGUCGGCCUGCGCGGAAGAUGUAACGGGGCUAAACCAUGCACCGAAGCUGCGGCAGCGA